GGUGUCCCCAGGUGUUCCUCAGGUGUCCCCAGCUGUCCCCAGAUGUCCCCAGGUGUCCCCAGGGGUGUCCCCAGGUGUCCCCCGAUGUCCCCGGUGUCCCAUCUCAGGAGCAGCAGUAGAGGUCCAGGUCGUUGAGGCCGGUGUCGUCCCCUCCGCGCUGGGGGGGCUCCAGGCGGGUGCGGAGGCCGCAGACCCCGGCCCCGGGGGGGCAGGGCAGGCUCCAGUUGCCCCAGGAGCCCUGGGGACCACCCCGGCCCUCCA